GACGAACGCUGGCGGCGUGCUUAACACAUGCAAGUCGAACGGAAAGGCCCCCAUCUUGGUGGGGGUGCUCGAGUGGCGAACGGGUGAGUAACACGUGGGUGAUCUGCCCUGUACUUCGGGAUAAGCUUGGGAAACUGGGUCUAAUACCGGAUAGGACCAUGGUUUAGUGUCUCAUGGUGGAAAGAUUAUUGUUUUGGUGCAGGAUGAGCUCGCGGCCUAUCAGCUUGUUGGUGGGGUAAUGGCCUACCAAGGCGUCGACGGGUAGCCGGCCUGAGAGGGUGGACGGCCACAGUGGGACUGAGGUACGGCCCAGACUCCUACGGGAGGCAGCAGUGGGGAAUAUUGCACAAUGGGCGCAAGCCUGAUGCAGCGACGCCGCGUGGGGGAUGACGGCCUUCGGGUUGUAAACUCCUUUCGUUAGGGACGAAGCCGCACUUUUUUUGGGUGUGGUGACGGUACCUUUGUUAAGAAGCACCGGCUAACUACGUG
rnacentral:rRNA from 1 species